rnacentral:rRNA from 1 species
UACGUAGGAUGCAAGCGUUGUCCGGAAUUAUUGGGCGUAAAGAGCGCGCAGGCGGUAAUUCAAGUCAGAUGUGAAAUAUCCGGGCUUAACCCGGAGGGGUCAUUUGAAACUGAGUAACUAGAGUACAGCAGAGGAUAGCGGAAUUCCCGGUGUAGUGGUGAAAUGCGUAGAUAUCGGGAGGAACACCAGUGGCGAAGGCGGCUAUCUGGGCAGUAACUGACGCUGAGGAGCGAAAGCGUGGGGAGCGAACAGG